GUCUAUGGCCAUACUACCCUGAACACGCCCAAUCUCAUCUGAUCUCGGAACCUAAGUAGGGUCAGGCCUGGUUAGUACUUGGAUGGGAGCCCCUCAAAGGUGCAAUUUCAC